UACGUAGGGUGCAAGCGUUGUCCGGAAUUAUUGGGCGUAAAGGGCUCGUAGGCGGUCCAUCACGUCGGGAGUGAAAACCCGGGGCUCAACCCCGGGCCUGCAUUCGAUACGGGCAGACUAGAGUUCGGUAGGGGAGUCUGGAAUUCCUGGUGUAGCGGUGAAAUGCGCAGAUAUCAGGAGGAACACCGGUGGCGAAGGCGGGACUCUGGGCCGAUACUGACGCUGAGGAGCGAAAGCGUGGGGAGCGAACAGG
rnacentral:rRNA from 1 species